CUGCUUACCUGGCAGGGGAGACACCAUGAUCAGGUAGGUGGUUUUCCCAGGGCGAGGCUCACCCCCUGCAGUCUGGGUGUGCUGACCCCUGCAAUUUCACCAAAUGCUGGAAACACAACUGCAGAAUCUGUGGUAGUGGGGGAAUUUUUUUUUUUUUUUUUUUUUGUGGAGGCCCCAU
rnacentral:snRNA from 1 species